AUAAAACACUAACUCGAAAAAAAAAAGCAACAAAUUUUUCUAAGUGUUAAAACCCCCCAGCUGAUACUCUCAACCUCUUAAACUUGUCGAAGAAAACCCUUGCUGCAUCCAACAAAAUCCCUUUUUGCUGCUGCUCAACAAAAACCCUAGCCGUCAUGCUUACCCAUCUCCGCUGCUUAGUGCCAUGGUCACUGGUGACUUUCAUUGUGAUUCUUUGAUUUCGAAAUCGGCGAACCCUCACUGAGAACCAUACGGAGAACCCACGGAACGCGUGCUGCCACACUCAAAUUUCAGAACCUAAGCUAAGAGCACACCACUGACUGAGCAUAUUAGAACCCGA
rnacentral:lncRNA from 1 species